GAAAGCCAGUAAACAUUUGCCAGGACUCUUUUUAGACUCCACAUGUUAAGUGAUAUUUCUCAAAAGAAGACAUCCAAGUGGUGAACAGAUCUAUGAAAAAAAAAAAUGCUUGUCAUCACAAACCAUCAGGGAAAUGCAAAUUAAAACCACAGUGAGACAUCACCUGCCCUGUUCGAAUGGCUUAUCAAAAAGAUGAAAGACAGCAAGUGUUGGUGAGGAUGUGGAGGAAAGGGAACCUUGUGUGCUGUUGGUGGGUAUGGACAGUCAUACAGCCACUGGGUGUUGGGAGGAGAAAACGUGGUGAUUCACUCAGCAGAUGCCCUCAUUCAUUCAGUGCUGGCCAACUGCUGUGCUCCUGGUCCUGGGUCGGGUGCCUACUAGAGGAUGCAGAUACAGCAUUUGAGAUGGACUGCUCUGGCACUGGCCUGGGGGCAGGGUAGGGGAGCGGGAAAUGGUCAUUCCUGUGAGAAGCUGGGAUGGAAAGGAGAAGACGGAUUGGGGAUGGUAAGAGGCAGAGGGGGCAGGCUUGGAGAUCACAUGGGUGUGGACAUGGCGGAUGGGGUGGGCUGGGAGAAGUGGGUAGGGAAAGGUGGCACCGAGGUAGCAAGUUCUGGUGACCAGGCAGAUGGCACCGUCCUGCCCAGAGAUGGAGGCUACAGGAGCUGGUGAGUGCCCCAGGCCUGGAUGUGGGACACAUGAGGUCAUGAGGAGCAACCACAGGAGCCGUCCUGUGAGAAGCUAAUAUGUGAGUCUCAGGAGGAGAUGGGGUGCCGAGGGUCAGCGGGGUUGCGUGUGUGAGUGCGGAGCAGAGUGGAGGCCGCGGGAGGCCAAGGCAGUGGUCAGGAUGUGAGGGGUGGAGUGAGC
rnacentral:lncRNA from 10 species